rnacentral:rRNA from 1 species
UGGCGGACGGGUGAGUAAUGUCUGGGAAACUGCCUGAUGGAGGGGGAUAACUACUGGAAACGGUAGCUAAUACCGCAUAACGUCGCAAGACCAAAGAGGGGGACCUUCGGGCCUCCUGCCAUCGGAUGUGCCCAGAUGGGAUUAGCUUGUUGGUGGGGUAACGGCUCACCAAGGCGACGAUCCCUAGCUGGUCUGAGAGGAUGACCAGCCACACUGGAACUGAGACACGGUCCAGACUCCUACGGGAGGCAGCAUG